rnacentral:tRNA from 1 species
GACCCUGUGGCCUAAUGGAUAAGGCGUCGGCCUCCGGAGCCGAAGAUUGAGGGUUCGAGUCCCUUCAGGGUCG